UCUAUAUGUAUGUGUAUCUAUAUGUAUGUAUAUGUAUGUAUCUAUAUGUGUGUAUAUAUAUGUGUAUAUAUAUAUGUGUGUAUAUAUGUAUGUAUAUCCAUAGAUUUUGGUAAAGCAUAAAAAAGAUAAUGGAAACAAAAGCAGACUGGUAAAAAGAAAGAAAGCAGAUACUGUUUGAAAAAAAUUAUGCAAAGAUACCAAUUCUUUAAUUCUCUGGAAUGAUUUUUAUAUUGAAAAAAUUUUAUAGUUCAGGGCUAAAAGUUAAAUAAUUUUAGUAUUCUCCCAUCAGAUCCAUGUUAUUUUACUUUAACCUUUUUUAAUCCAUUCUCCACAGAGUAGCUUCAUAUGUUUAAAAAAAAAAAAAGUGAAUUGGAUAAUUUUCCUCCCUUCAAAUCCUCCAGUGGCUUUCCAUUAUGCUUUAAAUGAAGUAGAUAAUUAUUUGCAUAAGAUCCUGUACAAUCUGGCCUCUGUUGACUGGUCUUUCCUUUGCUCAUUAUUUUAUAAUCACAUUGAUUUUGUUUUAAUUUCUUGAAAAGGUCAGUCUCUUUCCCAUCUCAAGGACUUUAUAUGUAUUUUCUUUUGUGGGGGGAAGGAGGGAUCUUUUUUUUUUUUUAAUGUUUAUUUUUGACAGAGCAUGAGCGGGGGAGGGGCAGAGAGAGAGGGAGACACAGAAUCUGAAACAGGCUCCAGGCUCUGAGCUGUCAGCACAGAGCCCGACGCGGGGCUUGGACUCAGACUGCCAGAUCAUGACCUGAGCCGAAGUCGGACGCUCAACCGACUGAGCCACCCAGGUGCACCUCUUUAUCUUGUUGCUUAUUUUUAUUUUUCUGUGUCAUCCUAAAGAAUUCCUAAGUAUUCUGUCUAAAGUAGCUUCUACCCUCAUUGUCUAUUGCUAUAUCCUGUUAACUUCAGAGGAUUUAAUAAAUUCACUUUUGUAUUAAUUUCUUUACAUGAUUAUUGUCUUUUAAAGGUAAAAAUACCUUUAAUUUUAGACUAGUUUUAAAACUACAAAGAUAUGACAGUGUUCCUGUAUAUUCCAUACCCAGUUUCCCCUGUUAUUAACUAAUCUUACAUUAGUAUGGUUCAUUUAUCACAAUUAACCAAUAAUGAUACAUUAUUAUUUACUAAAAUCCAUACUUAAAUUUUCUUAGUUUUUCCUAAUGUUGGUCACUGUCAUUUGUCUUUACUAGAUUGGGAGCUCCUGCAGGCAGGGACUGUGUGUGUUUCAUUCACCUAAUAUAAUACUAAAUAAACACUUGGGAGGUACUCUGUAAAUAUUUCUUGAAAGAAUGACCGCUAGAAAGAUGUCUUAGAGUUAUAGUCUAAUCUCUUUCCCAUAGGUGAGUAACUUGCUUAGGGACAUCAUGUGUGUCUUCUCUAAGUUCCAUGGCUAGUUGGCAGGGUGGCUUGUGAUAUCUAAUCUGCUAUAUAUAGAGGUGAGUUUACUAUGAAUCUCAUGAAACUAGCGAAAUUCGUGAGACUAAUGAAGCUUAACUUUCAAGGUUCUAUCAGAGGGCCUGGGAGGGACCCUAGCAAUGAGUUCACAUGGUCACUUUAAAAAAUCUUUAAUUGCUGGGGCGCCCGGGUGGCUUAGCGCCCCAAGGGUCCAAUUCUUGAUUUUGGCUUAGGUCGUGAUCUCACAGUUAGUGAGAUCAAUCCCUGUGUCAGACUCUGCGCUGUCAGCGUAGAGCCUGCUUGGGAUUCUCUCUCUCCCUCUCUCUCUCUGUCCCUCCCCUGCUUGUUCUUUCCUUCUCUCAAAAUAAACAAACACUAAAAAAAUCUUUUAUUGGGAUAUAUUAUAUACAUGGACAAAUGCAAAGAUCAUAAGUGCAGCUUAAGACUUCCUACAAACUUAA